GGGGCUGAGGGGAGCGCGCGCCGCCUCACACCGGCUCUGCCCUCAGGGAAAGGGGAGCGCGGCGCCCUUAUCCAUGGGUGGGGGGGCGGAAAAAAAGGGCUGCGGCGUGUUAGAAAGGGAAGGUUUUUCCUCACGUUAAACUCCCCGCCGGCUAUAGGUGCCGUUGCACCUGUUGGGCGGGCCCGCACAGCGCGGGGUGGGGCGAGUGAGGGGCUUCGCCCCGGGAAUGCCGUGGGAAGUCCGCUUUCGGAGUUCCUUUAGGUGUGUUCCACUGCACGAAAGCGCUUUUGAACUUAAAAGUUACGCUUUCCAGGGACACCAGGGAAGGAGCUGAGAUUGACAGUGGCUAUCUACUGGAGGAAGCUCUGGGAGAGGUUUACAGAUGAGAUGUUUCUCAGUCAUGACUUCCGAAGGCUUAGUGUGCUCCUAAGAUCCAAGGAUCCUGUCUGUGAUCAGUUUUUGGGAGCAUCUAAAGGAAAACUGGGAACUGCAGUGCUAUAUGGAGAACUGGCAGGUUUCUCAGCAGGAAGAUUGGCCUCUUUACACCGGAAGACCUCUGUCUGUGGUGUUUGUAUUUCCACUUGUUUUUGACAAACUGAGUGAAAUGUAUCAGUGUGAGAGAUUGGAUUUGAGUCCUACCAUGAUUUGGGACAUUUUGUCUCUGCUUCUGCUGUUCAUGCAGCAUUAAAUCUUUUGGGCAGUGCUCCUCAGAAGAUGAGAGGGAAAGGAACAGUGCAGACCAAGAAGGUAAAGUAUUUUAAUGUCCUAUAUGGCAUGUUCCUCCUCUGUCUUUAUUACCUGGUUAUGAUAACAACAGAAUUGUUGGGCUCUUCAGACAAUAAUCUGUUUAAAGCUCUUGGAAAAUGCCUGUUUUUAUCAGCAUUAAUUGCUUCCAAUGGGACUAAGCAUUACUAAAGGUAAGUCUUCAUAUCACCAGGGAAUAAUUAGAACAAAAUGCAAAGGAAAGAGAAGUAGAAUGAAAAUUGUUCUUAUUAUUCUUGUAGUAGCUAAGGAGGAAAUAUUUUUUUUCCAUUUUUCUGUUAGUAAUCAUGUUUACAAAUGUAGGUGGACUGUACUGUGUCCAAGCUCUGAGAAAGAAUAAAGAAAAACACCACUGUAAAGAACCAGAAAAAUAGAAUAGUUUUUUUGAGAGACCUCAGCAGUUAUUCUUUUACUGGAAUCAUUAAAUCUUCCUGUAACUAAGUGAAAAGCUUGUAGUGUUCAUAUACCCAUCUCUGUAGGAAUUCCUUCAAUAUUUUGUUCAGUGUGCAGAGGUAUAGCUUAAGUUGGCCAAUGCUAAGAGACCAUCCUUGGUUUAUUUUUCCUUGGGGACUUCUACACCACACAGGCUUUUUCUUUGACCUUUACGUUUUCUUCUGAGGACAAGGGAUUGGAGUGUGCAGGAUAACCAGAAAUACCCACCCUGGCUCUGGAGAAAACCUACCCUGCUUUUGAGCACCAGAAGUCCUAAACAUCUGGGGAUCAUUUGAAACUGUAGCUGCUCACUCGCCAUGGAAGACAUGAAAGAAGCAGUUAAUGUUUCUUUUCUGGGUGAAAUGAAAUCAUCUACAGACACCAAAUGAGAUCAAGGACCAUUGUGCUCUCAGACUGGAAGAUGUAACCUUUUGUGAAACAUUUAAAAUCAAAAUACUCUGGACACAUAAAAGAAACAGAUUUUUCACCUUCCUAGAAAGGAGAGCAGAAGUGAUCGAUCACUGUUGGCAGGAACACUUUGCCUUUGUCAGCAGAACCUCUGGAGGAGCCCAGGCAGCAAUGGGGUUUUAAUGGGCAACAUUUGUUUCAUGAAACUCACAGAUGCUUCCCUGACAAUUGCAAAGGAAGAAAAGAGAAGAAAACAAACCCAGAGAAAAGGCAGAAAAUACAAAGAGCAGAUGAGAGAUUCAGCUUCCAUCCCAGCGAUUCCUCUUGCAUCAGCCUGGGGGCUGAUGCACAUUUUGCCUGGAUCAGACACCCCUGGUGAACCUGUGCUGCAGAGCUCUGCUGAGAACUUGGGUCUCCCCCCUGGUGUAGCCCCCCCAGCCACUCUGAGUCAUGAUGGGAAAUACUGGGAGUUACCAGGCAAGUGGGGCCAGUCAAGGAGAAGCAAAAAUCAGAGGGGAUAAACUUUCCAAGAGGACAAGCUUUCCAAAAAUAUAGAUUAAAAAAAAGAAGACAAAUAUAAAUGGCACUGACCUCAUUCUGGUAGAGGAAGCAGCAGUAGUCUUAACCCAAAGAAUGGAAAAGCCAACAUCUGGGAGGAGCCAAGACAGUAGCUAUGGCCACUGCUUUUCCAUGUCUAUGUUUUGAGCCCUCCAGCAUAUCUGGUGAGUGGCAAAAGGCACUUUUUUUUCCUGAACAGACCCAAACCAUGAGACUUUUUGAAAAGAGCCUGUCAGCACUGCCUUGUGUCUGGUGCCAGGGAGCCAGAGACAGGCGACCGAGUGCCUCAGUCUAAGUGGCUGGGCAAAAUCCAGGGGCUCCGUGUAUUCUGCGCAACAAAGGAAAAUUGGUAUUGUCACCACAUAUCUUUGAAGCAAUCCUGCUUACCUACAAGGGUCCUGUUCCCCAGGGUACUCACACACAGCACAUGGAUUUGUUGGCACAGCUCUAGGUCAGGUUCAGGACUCAGCCCACCAACCUUUUUCCUCCUCAACUUCUCUUUCCUCUAGAAAAGGGAUUCCCCGGACAGCUACAGAUCAGGAGAUGCUUCCUUGUUAUCUGCCAGAAACUAAACAAACUCCGUGGGGAAAAAAAACCCCAAAGUAAUUCUAAUUCUGCAGCAAGUCCGGUUGUAUUUUUCUCUCCUUCCAGCAAAGGAGAGAAAUGCUUUUGGUUUGUGUCUUCUUUUCUACCUGUACGUACUAGAGCUGAAUGCUACAGAUAAUUGUAAAACCAAGAGGAGACUUCUUAAGCAAAAAUAUCCAGUAAUAACCACGUUCUAACUCAUGUAGGUCUGAAGAAUUUUUAAGGCAUCAUGUGCUGAGGGUGGGACAGCCAGAGUCACUGGUGUGCUCUGGUGGCUUCCUGUUCAGUUAGCCUUGUACGAUUCCCAUUAGUUUAAAUGGAGGCAGGAUUUAAAGCUAUGCAGGUCGUACCUACCUGAGAAAUACACACAGACUUUAAUACAGGACAAGUGUAGGUUCAGUGGAUGUACAAUGUACAAUCCCAAUACCCACAAUUCCUGCAUUGCCACAGCCAGGCCAUGCUGCCUCCCCAGACGUUGCCUUCCUGAGGCUUUGGCAGAUAUCAUGUUAUUUCUUCAUGCUGUGAGGCUCCAUUGCUCACUUGAGAUCAUUACACAGUUCAGUAGAUUUACUAUAGAUUUUUACCCCUAGAGUUCAUCCUAAACUCUACUUUCUUUAAUUUAAUCCCAUUCUCUACAAAUCUCUUUUUUUUUUCUCCAUGGGUAGUAAGGCAUUCCUUUUUUAUUCCAAAUAAAGCCCAUCUACUAGCAACUAGAAAUCCUUAGCUGGAGAGACAUAAUCUUGAGCAGGUAUAGGUAAUUAUGGACCGUACUUAGGGGUCCUUUAAAACUUUCUGCUCCAUUUCCUGUCCCUGCAGGGAUGGUAAUUGCUGUUACACAUGACAGUGUCACAGCAGUGAGCAGGGCAGCACUGACAGGCUCCAAGGACAGCUCCAGGCUGGGAGAGGGGAGGGAACUGCAUCCCAGCCCCGCAGAACACCGGAGACCAAAACACACCCAUGAGGGAGGGACCACGGUUGGAUGGGCUUCUCCCCGGGCUAUUGUACCCCACUGCAGAAACAGGGAAAUGGGACUACCGGAAAUUGAGUCCAUAAGGAGAGAAAGGAGCGGGUCAUAUUCUGAUUUCACAUUGGCUUAAUUCGGGAGCUGCUCUAAUAACCCUGUGGAAUCGAGUGGGUUUGAGUGCCAGCUGAAGUAAAAAGGCAGCUCAGGCUGAGGCGAUGUGUUCUGCCAGGGUUGCUUUAACUUCUUCAAUUAUUUUUGCUCAAUAUAAAUAUCAACCCCAACAGGCACUAACAGAAGGCUCCAGGAGCCUUUCCCAGCUGUUUUGGGCUUCAACCCCCAAAGCUACCUCUCAGAAUUCAGUUUUAGCUUCAGGCACUCUAAAUUUAAUAGACUCAUUUGAGCAAAGGGCUUAUUGGAAAUCCACGUUGGAAAAUAGCGAGUGGAAGUGUGCUCGUGCCAAGCCAUAAACACAUUUAUACAGUGCAGUAAAUCAAUGCUGCUGCCUCUCCUUGGAGAGGCUGGGCCAGUUAACCUACAGGACAGGAGGAUGGAACCUGUUCAGCUUCCUGCAGGCAGGUAGCAAAGGCUGCAGCCAUAGCACCCCGCUGGGCCUCCACAUUUCAGCCCAUUGGCUUUUGGCUUCUCAUCCACUGACUACUGAAAAAGAGCAGAGAUUUGGAAAGGCACUGCCAGCACGGCAUGAGUGCAGCACGAGGACUGGCAAAUGGGAAGAGGCAGGAGAGGUGAUGCCUGUGGGCAUCUACUAAUACAAGGUCUGCAGAAGUACUCGGACUCUGUAACGCAGUAACGUGCUGGACUCGCUCUCAGAAAUUCCUGUAUAAGUAGAGGUCAUACGAUCUGACCAGCGACUUCGUACAAACAAGAGCAUGUUUAGUUACUUGUUAUCAGAGCAUUGCAUUCAACUGCCUCAAUUACAGGGCUCCCCACCACCACUUUAAGUGGUAUCCAGAAUAUAAAACAAGGUUACAAAAAAAGGACAAGAUGUUAUGGAGAGCUGGUUAGCUUUUAGUGCAUGAAGUUCCUGAGAAUUACUUGUAUUUUGUGUUUGUGUAAAACCUGUUAUUGAUGAUUAAAUGCAAA